CCCGGAGCCCUCUCACAGCCCGAGCGCCGGUUCAAAGUCCGAGGCUCCGCCGUCGGCUCAGGGAACCCAAGGGCUGGGGUCGCCCCGGCUUCAGCCUGCUUCGGGAAGCCAGUCCGCGCGGGUUCUCGCGGGAGCCCGCCAACCUUGGGUCCUCUGAGCAGAGCGCAGCUCAGAGAGCCACCCGCGAGCCGGCUGCGGACCCGGGGGCGCUCCGCUGCGCGUCAGCCUCAUGGGUUGCGCCACCGGGCGUGGAGAAGCACCGCCUAUAAAGCACCUCUGUCAAAGGGUCUUUUAAUAAUACCAAGCACCUUCUCACUCCUGCUGGCUCUACUCUUUCAGCAUUAUCAAAAGUUCUUUACAUACAAUCUGCAAGCAGUAAAAGAAGAAUUUCAGAUUUGGAGGCUGCUCUGUGGGCGAACGGUGUGUCUUGAUCUCAAAGACACUUUCUGCAGUAGUUUGCUUAUCUACAACUUCAGGAUAUUUGAAAGGCGAUAUGGCAGUAGAAAA